rnacentral:other from 1 species
GCAACCCUCCGAUGUACGAAAAAGUCCUAUAGGUUUUGAGCCAACACUCUUUAUAAGGGAGCCCGAAAACUCCGGCCGCUCAUGGUAUGCCCCCUGAGGGGACAUCAGCAGUGACAGGGAGGGCACCCACCUGCUCAUGCAGGUUCAAAACAAGGGACGGAAACGGCAUUGUAGGGCUCUU